UAAGGAAUAUUGGACAAUGGAGGCAACUCUGAUCCAGCCAUGCCGCGUGAAGGAAUAAGGCCCUAUGGGUUGUAAACUUCUUUUAGACGGGACAAAACCCCUUUACGUGUAAAGGGUUGAUGGUACUGUCAGAAUAAGCAUCGGCUAACUUCGUGCCAGCAGCCGCGGUAAUACGAAGGAUGCAAGCGUUAUCCGGAAUUAUUGGGUUUAAAGGGUGCGUAGGUGGACUAAUAAGUCAGUGGUGAAAGCCUGCAGCUUAACUGCAGAAUUGCCAUUGAUACUGUUAGUCUUGAGUACAGUUGAGGUAGGCGGAAUGUGUCAUGUAGCGGUGAAAUGCUUAGAUAUGACACAGAACACCGAUUGCGAAGGCAGCUUGCUAAGCUGUAACUGACGCUGAGGCACGAAAGCGUGGGGAGCAAACA
rnacentral:rRNA from 1 species